CCUACGGGAGGCAGCAGUGGGGAAUAUUGAGCAAUGGGCGCAAGCCUGACCCAGCAAUGUCGCGUGAAGGAAGAAGGCUUUCGGGUUGUAAACUUCUUUGACAGGGGAAGAGCAGAAGACGGUACCCUGAAAACAAGCCACGGCUAACUACGUGCCAGCAGCCGCGGUAAUACGUAGGUGGCAAGCGUUGUCCGGAUUUACUGGGUGUAAAGGGCGUGUAGCCGGGAAGGCAAGUCAGAUGUGAAAUCUGGAGGCUCAACCUCCAAAUUGCAUUUGAAACUGUUUUUCUUGAGUACUGGAGAGGCAGACGGAAUUCCUUGUGUAGCGGUGAAAUGCGUAGAUAUAAGGAGGAACACCAGUGGCGAAGGCGGUCUGCUGGACAGCAACUGACGGUGAGGCGCGAAAGCGUGGGGAGCAAACAGGAUUAGAUACCCCAGUAGUC
rnacentral:rRNA from 1 species